AGCGACUAUACACCGGUCAUGUAGCCCCAUGUAGCCAAAGCACAGCUAAGCGAAAAAGGGCCUUGACAGGGGUUAGGAGGCAGGCAUUAGGAGGAGGGAAGGAAGUAUGGAGUUAUGGGUAAGUAGGCUGUGUUAUUUAAAUAGGCAGCCAUUUUAAGUGAGCUCACUUCUAAUUUCCUACCUGGCUUAGUUUGUCCUGCCCACCCUCCCUGUAUAUGGUUUCUG